AUGACCGCCCUCGCUGAGCCGGGACUGUGCACUCCUGGCUGCUUUUGGAACAGCAGGCCCCCCGCCCCAAUCCCUGUCUCCCAGGCCGGCCUACAUGUAGGCUUCGGCCUUUCUCUGCUCUUCCUUCUGCCGUGCCUGCCGCUGCUGAGAGAGGCUGCUGUGUGCAGGGGUCUGCGACACGGCCAAGGCUUGCAGGGACCCUGCCCCAGCCUCGUCCCCCGUGCAAGGCUCACACUGCGACCAGGGAGAAGACAAGAGCUCUGCAAUGUUCCGUGCCAUCCCAGCUGUGUCCUGUGUGUGUUCCGUGCCAUCCCAGCUGUGUCCUGUGUGUGUUUGUGCCAUCCCAGGGGUGUCCUAUGUGUGUUCCGUGCCAUCCCAGAUAUGUCCUGUGUGUGUUCCGUGCCACCCCAGGUGUGUCCUGUGUGUUUCGUGCCAUCCCAGGGGUGUCCUGUGUGUGUUCCGUGCCAUCCCAGGGGUGUCCUGUGUGUGUUCCGUGCCAUCCCAGGUGUGUCCUGUGUGUGUUCCGUGCCAUCCCAGGUGUGUCCUGUGUGUGUUCCGUGCCAUCCCAGGGGUGUCCUGUGUGUGUUCCAUGCCAUCCCAGGGGUGUCCUGUGUGUGUUCCGUGCCAUCCCACGGGUGUCCUGUGUGUGUUCCGUGCCAUCCCAGGUGUGUCCUGUGUGUGUUCCGUGCCAUCCCAGGGGUGUCCUGUGUGUGUUCCGUGCCAUCCCAGGGGUGUCCUGUGUGUGUUCCGUGCCAUCCCAGCUGUGUCCUGUGUUCCAUGCCAUCCCAGGGGUGUCCUGUGUGUGUUCCGUGCCAUCCCAGCUGUGUCCUGUGUGUGUUCCAUGCCAUCCCAGGGGUGUCCUGUGUGUGUUCCAUGCCAUCCCGGGGUGUCCUGUGUGUGUUCCGUGCCAUCCCAGCUGUGUCCUGUGUGUGUUCCGUGCCAUCCCAGCUGUGUCCUGUGUGUGUUCCAUGCCAUCCCGGGGUGUCCUGUGUGUGUUCCGUGCCAUCCCAGCGGUGUCCUGUGUGUGUUCCGUGCCAUCCCAGGGGUGUCCUGGCUCAAGGCACAGUUCCACGGGAAGAAGUCCAGGGAGUGGGACUGGGAGGCAAAAACAGCCUGCUGCCGAUGGGCUCAGGGGUGGACCUGGCAUCCACUGCCUGUCCGUCCCGCUCCGGGCUCCCGCACAGUCUUUCCCCAGUGAGGAGGAGACAGCGGGGCGGGAACGCUGCUUACGAGUCGCAAAGGGAGAGCAGUGGACUUGUGCAAGGCCUGCUCCCCUCUGCCUCUGUGCAGACCUGGCCGCUGAACACCGUCCACGGCUGA
rnacentral:lncRNA from 1 species